CUUUAGCUCAAGGUUUUAUUCGAAGCCCAUUGUAUUCUUAACCCUAAUCAAUUUAGACAUGAGCGUCGUCUUCUUCGCUUCCUUCCUUCAAACAACGAUGCGGCGGUAAAGCGUUCCAAAUCCGUAACGUCCGACCGGUGCUCAUCUGUUGUGGAGGCCAGGUUGCUUUGUUUCUGGGAGGCUCGGAACUUGAAACGUGGUGGUGAGCUCAUGUGGAUGGACUUGCUCACCGUGGAUGUUAAUAGACGAUGUAUCAGUAGGUGCUUUAGCCAAACGCUUUCCCGCCGGCGAAGAUUUGAGAAGCUCCGUUUCGAUGGUAGAAAAAUAUUGACUGUUGCCGUCGUAUUGGUUUUUGUGACCCUGAUGUCUAUGAACAGCUCCACCAUCCCUCUCGGUUCUUCUUUAGUUAAGCCAUCAUCAAGGGGAUGUCUUAUUUGCAUCAGAGGCCUAGACUGAUAUCUUUGAUAUCAAAGUUUUUAGAUUCACCGCCAAUAUUCACCUUCAACCACAUCAAACUACAAUUCCCGAUAUGGCUUCUUACAUGUGUGAAGCUCCAGCUACUUCACGUCAAUGACACCUCAGAAUCUCAUCUUCAACUCCUGGCACUCACAAGGCUGAGAAAUACCAUAUUUUGUUGGUGAAAGGUAAUCCUAAAGUGGUAGAUGGAAUCGGUAAUGUUCUUUUGCUAUAUUCAGCAGUGUGUAUAGAAAAGAAAUAUUACAGUACAGCUUGAGGGUAGUAGGGAAGAAGAUGAAGAGUGGAAAGAGCUUGACCUAAUGUUAGUCUGGCUUCCUAAAACUUACCUGAUAAUACAGCGAGAGAUUGGUGAAGAAAGAGACCAAGACGAAGUGAAUAAGAUAGAGAGUGACAGAGCAUUGCUUUAACCUGUGUGUACGUACCCUGUCUAUGAAACUGGAAGGUUUCACAUGGAGGAGUAAGAAUAUAUAGGAUGGGAAAAAGAUGGUUUGGAGUUGUGGUGUGUUGAUAUAUAUAUUUUUGAGAUGAGACUAUUAGAUUUUGUAAUGUUAGGAUUCAUUGUCAAAUCAUGAGAAAAAUACAUUGACUUACCAGUUAUAAUACAUUCUUUUUCGUC